rnacentral:rRNA from 1 species
GCCAGCAGCCGCGGUAAUACGGAGGGUGCAAGCGUUGUUCGGAUUUAUUGGGCGUAAAGCGCGUGUAGGCGGUUUCUUAAGUCUGAUGUGAAAGCCCUGGGCUCAACCCAGGAAGUGCAUUGGAUACUGGGAGACUUGAAUACGGGAGAGGGUAGUGGAAUUCCUAGUGUAGGAGUGAAAUCCGUAGAUAUUAGGAGGAACACCGGUGGCGAAGGCGGCUACCUGGACCGAUAUUGACGCUGAGACGCGAAAGCGUGGGGAGCAAACAGGAUUAGAUACCCUGGUAGUCCACGCCGUAAACGAUGAGUACUAGGUGUCGCGGGUA